CAGGAAGUGAAGUCCCUUUGCCAACAGAUUUCUGACACAUUAAAACUUGCGUUUCACAGGAGUAACUAAUCUCAUCAUGAGUAGAGUCUACUACGUCCUCAGUGCUGCUCUUUUUGUGUUAGAAAUUCCAGAGACCAAGGCGCUGCUAGAAAACUCCAAUGACUGUUGUGAAAGAAUAAAGAGAAUGAAUGAAACCUGUGUGAAUAUUACACUCUGUGAUCCUGGACUCCUUCAAGUUCAGGAGAACAGUACAACAUUUUGUGUGUCCUGCGAUUCAACAGAGCAGGGGAAUUCAACUUUACUUA